CCCGCGGCCUAUCAGCUUGUUGGUGGGGUAAUGGCUUACCAAGGCGACGACGGGUAGCCGGCCUGAGAGGGUGACCGGCCACACUGGGACUGAGAUACGGCCCAGACUCCUACGGGAGGCAGCAGUGGGGAAUAUUGCACAAUGGGCGCAAGCCUGAUGCAGCGACGCCGCGUGAGGGAUGACGGCCUUCGGGUUGUAAACCUCUUUCAAUAGGGACGAAGCGCAAGUGACGGUACCUAUAGAAGAAGGACCGGCCAACUACGUG
rnacentral:rRNA from 1 species